UUCUAUGAUGAUAACUUUCUCAGACCUGUACCGAUUUUCCGCAAGGAGUAUGCGGAUAACACACAUUGCCUUUUUUCCUGAUC
rnacentral:snoRNA from 1 species